AUUGAACGCUGGCGGCAGGCCUAACACAUGCAAGUCGAACGAGUGGCGGACGGGUGAGUAAUGUCUGGGAAACUGCCUGAUGGAGGGGGAUAACUACUGGAAACGGUAGCUAAUACCGCAUACCAUCAGAUGUGCCCAGAUGGGAUUAGCUUGUUGGUGGGGUAACGGCUCACCAAGGCGACGAUCCCUAGCUGGUCUGAGAGGAUGACCAGCAACACUGGAGCUGAGACACGGGCCAGACUCGUACGGGGGGCAGCAGUGGGAAAUAUUGAAGAAUGGGCGCAAGCCUGAUGCGGCCAUGCGGAGGGUAUGAAGAAGGCCUUCGGGUUGUAAAGUACUUUCAGCGGGGAGGGGUUACCCGCAGAAGAAGCACCGGCGAACUCCGUGCAAGCAGCGGCGGUAAAA
rnacentral:rRNA from 1 species